AUGGAUCAGCUUGACGAGCAGUCCUUCCUGGACGAGCUUAUGUCGCUGCGCCGGGAGGAAGCGCCGGUGCCGGCUCCGGCUCCGUGGCAGGCGUACCCGGCCAGCGGCAUGAUGACGACGAGCGACCUCCUAUUCUACGCCAGCGAGGGCGCCGGCGAGGCGAGCAGCGGCACGGACUUGGUUGGGCCGUUUCUUCAACAGCCCAUGGCGCCACCGCCGGCCGCGCCUCCGCACCGGCCGCACGAGGAGUUCAACUUCGACUGCCUCAGCGAAGUGUGCAACCCUUACAGGAGCUGCGUCGGCAUCGUCCCUGGGCCUGGGGCCGGCCAGGCGCUCGCUCAGGAUCCACUGCACGACGCCAUGGCGGAGGACGACCUGAGCGGCGGCAACCUGCAUCGCGGUGGUGGGGCGUCGUCGUCCCCGGUGCCGUUCGUAUUCGGAGCAGGAGGCGCCGGGGAGAGCUCGGAGAUGACCAGGGGCCUCUUCUCCGGAGCCCACCCUAGAAGCAAGCUCAACGGCGGCACUACGUCCAAGAACCUCAUGGCGGAAAGGCGCCGCCGGAAGCGUCUCAAUGACCGCCUCUCCAUGCUCCGCUCCAUCGUGCCCAAGAUUACCAAGAUGGAUAGGACCUCGAUCCUCGGGGACACCAUAGACUACGUGAAUGAGCUAACCGAGCGGAUCAAAACCCUCGAGGAGGAGAUCGGCGCCACGCCGGAGGAGCUGAACCUGCUGAACACUAGGAAGAAUUUCUCCAGCGGUAGCAGCGAGGAGAUGCCGACGAGGAAUUCCACCAAGUUCGUCAUCGAGAAGCAGGGCGAUGGCGAAAUGAGGAUCGACAUCUGCUGCGCCACAAGCCCUGGUGUGCUGAUCUCGACGGUGAGCGCGCUGGAGGUGCUGGGGUUGGAGAUUGAGCAGUGCGUUGUCAGCUGUUUCGGUGACUUCGCCAUGCAGGCAUCCUGCUCACAAGAGGAAGGGAGGAGCCGAGUGACAAGCACCGACGAGAUCAAGCAGGCAUUGUUCACGAGUGCAGGCUAUGGAGGAAGGUGUCUCUAG
rnacentral:rRNA from 1 species